CUCCAUUCAUAGCUGACCAUGAUGUUUCCUGCUCAGCUCCUGGGGCUCCUCCUGCUCUGGGUCCCAGGAUCCAGUGGGGCCAUUGUGCUGACCCAGACUCCACUCUCCCUGUCAGUCAGCCCUGGAGAGCUGGCCUCCAUCUCCUGCAGGUCCAGUCAGAGCCUCCUACACAGUGAUGGA